UAAUCUUAAACUACUCGUUGUAAAACUAUACCCU
rnacentral:tRNA from 1 species